rnacentral:lncRNA from 1 species
GAUUAUUGGAGUUAACUGUGUCCCAGGCACUAGACUAAUCAGAAUUUAACUGACAUUAGUUAAUGAUCUGGGUCUCUAGAAGAGGCCUGUGAGCCUGACACAGCCAGGCAUGACCCAACGCUGGACAAUCUCACCGUCGUUGAUCUGGGAAGAAACUCCAGACAGGACUUCUUGAGCAGAGGAUAAAGCAAGCAGCCCACAGAGGAGAAUGAAGAGGCUGGAGACCUUCAGCAUCUUGGAAUGGGCACCUGUGGACCCAGCAACCCCAGUCAUGCCAGAGACCCAAGUCAAGGAAAGCCCUCAGGGACUGGAGGUGAAGCCACAGCUCCUCAUUAGAAGGAAGCAGGAAGGGGCCGUGUUUAUUAGCAAUGCCUGCUAGGCGCUAGUGGUAAAGAACCUGCCUGCCUGUGCAGGAGAUGUAAGAGACCUGGGUCGGGAAGAUCCCCUGGAGGAGGGCAUGGCAACCCACUCCAGUAUUCUUGCCUGGAGAAUCCCAUGGACAGUGCAGCCUGGUGGGCUACAGUCUGUAGGGUCACAGAGAGUUGGACAUAACUGAAGUGACUUUGCAUACAUGCAC